UACAGAGGGUGCAAGCGUUAAUCGGAAUUACUGGGCGUAAAGCGUGCGUAGACGGUUAUGUAAGUCGGAUGUGAAAGCCCCGGGCGUCACCUGGGAAUUGCAUUCGAGACUGCAUAGCUAGGAUGCGGAAGAGGGAAGCGGAAUUUCCGGUGUAGCGGUGAAAUGCGUAGAUAUCGGAAGGAACAUCAGUGGCGAAAGCGGCUUCCUGGUCCAGCAUCGACGUUCAGGCA
rnacentral:rRNA from 1 species